rnacentral:misc_RNA from 1 species
AAAAACCUGGAAUUCUGAAAUUUUUGAAGACUCCCAUGAAUCUGCCUAGAGUUGUAACUCCAAUAAAAAAUAAUGGAAGCAAACCCAACUCAGAUCAAGACUCUGAUACCAAAUUGUUGCAUAACAGCCUGCAGACUUAGUGAAACAGAGGAAUAGGGGGAGAAAGAGAUAGAAAUAAAUGAGAAAAGAAUAGAAGUAGAUG